UACGGGGGGGGCAAGCGUUGGUCGGAAUUACUGGGCGUAAAGGGCUCGUAGGUGGCCAACUAAGUCAGACGUGAAAUCCCCCGGCUUAACCUGGGAACUGCGUCUGAUACUGGAAGGCUUGAGGAUGGGAGAGGGAUGUAGAAUUCCAGGUGUAGCGGUGAAAUGCGUAGAUAUCUGGAGGAAUACCGGUGGCGAAGGCGGCAUCCUGGACCAUUACUGACGCUGAGGCGCGAAAGCUAGGGGAGCAAACGGG
rnacentral:rRNA from 1 species